GAUGAACGCUGGCGGCGUGCCUAAUACAUGCAAGUCGAGCGAACAGAUGAGGAGCUUGCUCCUCUGACGUUAGCGGCGGACGGGUGAGUAACACGUGGAUAACCUACCUAUAAGACUGGGAUAACUUCGGGAAACCGGAGCUAAUACCGGAUAAUAUAUUGAACCGCAUGGUUCAAUAGUGAAAGACGGUUUUGCUGUCACUUAUAGAUGGAUCCGCGCCGCAUUAGCUAGUUGGUAAGGUAACGGCUUACCAAGGCAACGAUGCGUAGCCGACCUGAGAGGGUGAUCGGCCACACUGGAACUGAGACACGGUCCAGACUCCUACGGGAGGCAGCAGUAGGGAAUCUUCCGCAAUGGGCGAAAGCCUGACGGAGCAACGCCGCGUGAGUGAUGAAGGUCUUCGGAUCGUAAAACUCUGUUACUAGGGAGGAACAAAUGUGUAAGUAACUAUGCACGUCUUGACGGUACCUAAUCAGAAAGCCACGGCUAACUACGUG
rnacentral:rRNA from 1 species